AGGGAAGAAACGGAUCUUUCUAAUACAGAGGUCUAAUGACGGUAUUGAAGAAUAAGCACCGGCUAACUACGUGCCAGCAGCCGCGGUAAUACGUAGGGUGCAAGCGUUAAUCGGAAUUACUGGGCGUAAAGCGUGCGCAGGCGGUUUUGUAAGUCUGUCGUGAAAUCCCCGGGCUCAACCUGGGAAUGGCGAUGGAGACUGCAAGGCUAGAGUUUGGCAGAGGGGGGUAGAAUUCCACGUGUAGCAGUGAAGUGCGUAGAUAUGUGGAGGAACACCGAUGGCGAAGGCAGCCCCCUGGGUCAAGACUGACGCUCAUGCACGAAAGCGUGGGGAGCAAACAGGAUUAGAUACCCUGGUAGUCCACGCCCUAAACGAUGUCUACUAGUUGUCGGGUCUUAAUUGACUUGGUAACGCAGCUAACGCGUGAAGUAGACCGCCUGGGGAGUACGGUCGCAAGAUUAAAACUCAAAGGAAUUGACGGGGACCCGCACAAGCGGUGGAUGAUGUGGAUUAAUUCGAUGCAACGCGAAAAACCUUACCUACCCUUGACAUGGCUGGAAUCCCUGAGAGAUUGGGGAGUGCUCGAAAGAGAACCAGUACACAGGUGCUGCAUGGCUGUCGUCAGC
rnacentral:rRNA from 1 species